rnacentral:rRNA from 1 species
UACGUAGGGGGCGAGCGUUGUCCGGAUUCAUUGGGCGUAAAGCGCGCGUAGGCGGCCCCGCAAGUCGGCCGUGAAAUCUCCGGGCUCAACUCGGAGGGGUCGGGCGAGACUGCGGAGCUCGAGGUGGGCAGAGGGCAGUGGAAUUCCGGGUGUAGUGGUGGAAUGCGUAGAGAUCCGGAGGAACACCAGUGGCGAAGGCGGCUGCCUGGGCCUGGCCUGACGCUGAGGCGCGAAAGCGUGGGGAACGAACAGG